AGCGUGUAAACAGAAGUAGCAUGCAAACAAACCAGAUGUUCUCAUACUUAGGUAUUUUAGCUUAGAUCACUCGGUAUUUAUGCAAGCAUUUAAUGAAUUAAUUGGAUACAUUUAUUAUAUCGGUGAAUAAAUGGGCGUCAGGAUGAUGUUUGUGGUAAAGAGGUUAUUGUCACUUUUUGCCACCAGUUCGGCUCAGCUGUUUAUUAAAGGGUCUAUUAGAUGGAUGGACUUAUCCGACCACUGGUAUUGUUUGUAGCAAUGCAAGUGUAACUGAUUGGUCAAGAUUCGAAAACCCACCCACUCUUGUACAACCUUGUCAUAACAGAUUUGAGUAUCAGACUUGCAACCACCAACCUCAAUAUACGACCAGGGGUUUCACUAGACCCGGGCUUUCGCGGAUCUAGUCCUGGAUGUUUUUUGAUCAGCCCCUAGUUUUCUGCGAGCUGAUAUUAACACAGCAAUGGAAUCAACAUUUGCAAGGCGAGCAAACAAGUUCUUCUUGAAUCGUGACUUCUUUUUGCGCUGUGUAUUGUCAUAUAUCGUAAGAGAAAAAAAGCAACCGGGGCUGUAAAUAAUGCCAAAACAAGCAACAUUGGUGCUGCAGCCGAAGCCCCCCAAACCAACGCAAACUACACACACGUGUACCAUUUAGUUCUGCUAGAAUCAUUCUUUCACACGAAGCAACACAACAUCCUUCAACAACAGCGAUCUCGCCUCCGUUCACCACACCUGGCUCUCCUCUUCCACACGCCAUUGCGCUGCCUUCUGACCUCAUCAAAAAACGUAACUUUUACCUUUCAAUAAAAUAAAUCAGAGCAAUAUCCAGAAUAACCAUUACAUUAAAUUACAAUGAAAUUACUGUGACCUCCCCCACAGAACUCUACCCAUAUUCCUAUUUUAUUAAAUUAUGAAAUUAUAAAAUAACACUUCUAGGUCGCAACAUGUACAUUCAUAACGUUCCCCUAAGGUCUUUCAGAGGUACUGAAUGUCACAGCCUUUUCGGGAUGUUACAGGUACAUUCAUAACGUUCUCUAAAUGAUUGCAUAAUGAUUGCUUCUGUUAAUAUUAAACCAGUUACUGGAAUAAUAUCUCAGCAACAGCCAGACUACCUUCCUUGCAUGAGAAAAGUUUAACUAAUCUUCUGAGUUCAGCAGCACUAGGGGUACUUUAGGCAUUAUGCUGCCGAACUCAGAAGAUUAGUUUCACUUUUGAUAUGCAAAGGUAGCCUGGCUGUUGCUGAUAUAUUAUCCCAGAAACUGGGUUUUCCCUAAAAAUCCCACAGUUGAUUUCCCAG
rnacentral:lncRNA from 1 species